rnacentral:lncRNA from 1 species
CUACUAUCUACUACCCGUGUAAGAUAUUUUAUCUGGAGUAGCUAUGAAUUGUAAGGAAUACAAUUGGGUGCUAUGUGUACCUAUGUGAAGCGCAGAAGUAUUUGAUUAUAUACAAUUUCCUGGAUUUAUAUGAGAGUAAUGCAUAAUAGAGAGCAAAAGAGGGUUUUCUUGCCAAAAGUAUCUGUGUGAAUUUUCCUUCGAAAAUGUUCUUUUAAAAUCCUUUGUAUGAUCAAAGCCACUCCACACAGACAAUUAAAAGCAGAUAUGAAAUGAUAGAUCACAUGACAGGAGUUAAAUGUAAAGGUUUUUUUUUUCCUCCUCCCUCGGUUAAACAUCGCAGCAGGCAUUACAAUACCAGAGGUAACGAAUCAAUUAAAUCCAUUUUCCCCUCGGCGUCUCCAAAGCUGCGUGCCUAGUGUUGCUGUGUAGUUUAGAACCGGAGCAGUAGGACCCAGGGGCCUCCGCAGCCACCAAUAGAAGCGCACACUUGGACCUAUUUGUAUGCAAUGCCUUCUGCUCUGCGCAUUAAUAGUAAUACAGAUAACGGGUUUGAAAGAAUUCUCUACCGAAGAAGGAUUGAAUUUUUCCAGGGUGCUGAUACCGAGAAGAAACCCGACUUCACUCUCUCCCCAUUUUCCCACUCUUAGGUUGAAAAGUCUCAGACACCUUUCGCUUGGUUUAAACUCGGAAAGGUCUCAGUGCACAGCAAAGUUGGAGGGGCUGCGUCUGCACUACGGCGCCGCUAGAUCGCUGAAAACAGGCUUAUCCAAGGAUUUCAGCAUGUCCAGGAAAGAGAGAAUCUCAGCCUGA